CAGUAGCGCGGUAAUACGAGGGGGGCAAGCGUUGUUCGGAAUUAUUGGGCGUAAAGGGUGCGUAGGCGGCCCCGCAAGUCUCAUGUGAAAUCUUCAGGCUCAACUUGAAGUCUGCAUGGGAAACUGCGGGGCUGGAGUAUGGGAGAGGUGAGUGGAAUUCCUGGUGUAGCGGUGAAAUGCGUAGAUAUCAGGAGGAACACCUGUGGCGAAAGCGGCUCACUGGACCAUAACUGACGCUGAGGCACGAAAGCGUGGGGAGCAAACAGGAUUAGAUACCCGCGUAGUCCCUGUCUCUUAUAAC
rnacentral:rRNA from 1 species